AGAUUGAACGCUGGCGGCAGGCCUAACACAUGCAAGUCGAGCGGCAGCACGGGUACUUGUACCUGGUGGCGAGCGGCGGACGGGUGAGUAAUGCCUAGGAAUCUGCCUGAUAGUGGGGGAUAACGCUCGGAAACGGACGCUAAUACCGCAUACGUCCUACGGGAGAAAGCAGGGGACCUUCGGGCCUUGCGCUAUCAGAUGAGCCUAGGUCGGAUUAGCUAGUUGGUGAGGUAAUGGCUCACCAAGGCGACGAUCCGCAACUGGUCUGAGAGAUGAUCAGUCACACUGGAACUGAGACACGGUCAGACUCGUACGGGAGCAGCA
rnacentral:rRNA from 1 species